GCCGGGUCGGGCAGCCCUCAACCGUUCUACCCCCUCAUCCCUUUAGGGUGUCGCGCAGAGGCGCUCCUGUCACGAGACCCCACCGUUGAAUUGCUGAAGGGUUUGCAAGUGUAUCCCGCUAACCUUCAACAGAAACUAGGUUACCAGGAGGAACAUGAAUAGCGUAAGCAAAUACAGUUCCACCGUUGGUUCCAGCCCACAGUGACGGCUCAUGGUUACACACAAGAGAUGAGCAAAAUAACAAUCAAGAUAUUGGAGAAAAACUUGGCAUUAUUAGAGACUGUCUGCCCACAUUAUGGAAACAAGUGGCUUUGUGUCCCACUAAAUAUGGACCUUCUGAAAUAUCAGACUCCACCGACAUACAGAUAUAUAGGUUAAACAAGCUGUAUGACAUUUCCCUCACCAUCUCU